AUAGCUACUAAAACUUCGGGGAC
rnacentral:siRNA from 1 species